AUGCAGGCAGCUGCAGAUUCCUGGCCUUUCGACACAAGUUUUCCUCUGCUGACAAACUCCAGCAUCAAGCAGAGGUGUUGGCAAGACUCCACCGGUUUCCUGGCAGAAGCCCCUAGCCACCCCACCUCACACUGGCACAAAGGAGCUCAAGCCGUGAAAGGUCAGGAAGACUUCUCUCAAGCUUGGUGUUUGGUCGGUGGGGAGCCACGCAGGUUUAACAUACAUAUCGAGAAAUGUUAUUUCUGUUUGGAGCCCAUCUAUCCUGGCCAUGGAAUGAUGUUCAUCCACAACAAUUGCAAAGUGUUCAGAUUUUGUCAAUCUAAAUGUCAUAAAAAUUUGAAAUAGGAGUGCAAUCCUCACAAAGCUAGGUGGACUAAAGCCUUCCAGAAAGCAACUGGGAAAGAGCUUACAGUGGAUAAUUCAUUUGAAGUUGAAAAACGUAGAAAUGGACCUAUCAAAUACCUGCGAGAGCUAUGGAAUAAAACUAUCAAUGCAUUGAAGAGAGUGGAAGAGAUCAAACAGAAACACCUAGGUAACUUUAUAAGGAACAGACUGAAGAAAAAUAAAGAGCUACGGAAAGUUCAGGAUAUCAAAGAAGUCAAGCAAAACAUCCAUCUUGUCCAAGCCCCACUUGCGCGCAAAGGGAAGCAGUUGGAAGAGAAAGUGGUACAGCAGUUACAAGAGGAUGUGGACAUGGAAGAUCCUUCUUAAAAAAUCUCUGUAACCAUUUCUUUUAUGUACAUUGGAAAAUGCCCUUUGGAGACUUGGAACUUCUAAAUUAUUAGUUUAUUUUUUACAUAAAGUCACUUAAAUGAAAAGUGAUUAAAAUAUAUCUUUCCUACAUUGCCAUCUACAUUAGAUAUUAUGGAUGUUAGACUGCAUCUCAGUGUUAAAUCUUCACUGAUAGAUGUAGCCAUGUAAAUCACGAAAAUUCUACUUAUAACUAUAGAAGUGAAUUGUGGACAUAAAAUGGUUAUGCCAUUUGGAUAAUGGCACUAGGCAGCAUUUGUAUAAUAACUCAUGGCAAAAAAUCAUGGCUAGUGAUAUGUAAAAUAAAAUAUUCUUUCCAGUAAAAUAUUCUCUUCAUUAAUGUUAUAGAAGGAGGGAUACAAUAAGGAACUAACAAUUUCUAAGACAGUGUCAAACAUUAUUUUGAUUUUAGUAUUUCCUGCUUUCGUUUAUUUGCAUCAUAGAAAAGCAUAAUGACAUUAUUUGAUGAAGCCUAAUUAUGCUGGACUGUUUUGACCUGGUUUAACCCUUCUGAUAGGUAGUUGGGAAUGUUGGGGAUGAGAUCUGAAUAAUCUUUGCCUGGAAUGACACUACACCCUAGAAUUUCCACUUUGGAGAAUACUCAGUUCUAACUUGUGAUUCCUGGUAGAACAAACUUUAUUUUUCUAGCCUAGCAGUGAUCUAAAAGCAGAGGAAUCCCAGUGCCUUUUAAAAGUCAUUAUAUGGUUUUCUUUUAUAAAGCUCUUGUUUUGGGAAAGUGGAAGUUAUAGAUACAACACCUGUUCAUUAUUUGCAUAUAAAAUAAAACCAUUUAAAAAG